AAAUCAAUAGUUCUUUUUCCUACCAGACGCCGGGGAGCGAGCUGUAUUUUGAAAGACGACGAUCGCGUAGCAGCCGCCUACGAACCGGUUGAUCAGUUUUCCUAACUCGGUUCGACUACUUCUUCUAACGCAAUGACCAUGGACACAUAUGAAAUUUAUUUUGAAGGCAUCGUGCCCAACUAUGCUAACAGAGAGCGUCCAAAAGGAGAAGGUGGCGUCGCAUUGGUGCAAGAAAGAAUAAUUAUUGAAGAAUUUGUGUGGUCGGAGCUUCCCUGACCCGUCGGUGUCGUAAGGCUGUGAGGGCCUGGGACUACGGCGACGUAGACAUAUUUGACGUUUCUCUUUAUCAACGAUAAACAAUUUCAAUGUUCUCGAUCAUUCUGUGCUUUUUCUCGGUGUCGUUGUGUAUAAGACUCCUUUAAUGUGUCAGCCUCAAUAACGUGCAUACAAUAUGUGUAUAUUAUUACCGUGUGAAGCAAUCGAAGGGUCGAUAUAGACUUUGGUCUUGAUUUCGAUGAGGAAACGUUAAUAUUUGUCUUGACUUGAAAUAUCACCACUUUCGAGGGUGGAGAAAAUGUUGAAAUUUUGUAUUGAAUUCGGGAAAUGAUGUCGGGGAAGAAGGGGGGUCUAUUGAUAGACAGUAUUUAAAACAAAACAUACUUAAAACUUUCCAAACAAGUAGUUAAAGCUUGUAAGAUUCCGAUAGCUUGCUUAUGUCAACACCAUUUAAUACAACAACGGAGCUGUUCUAUUGCCAUGAUUCCUUUGUCUCUUUCAAUUUACUUCAAUUAAUAUUCGGUUGUAGUUUAUUAAAAAUUUCAAGUAUUCUGUAAUCUC